AGCGAACGUUAGCGGCGGGCUUAACACAUGCAAGUCGAGCGAGAAAGGGGCUUCGGCCCUGAGUAGAGCGGCGGACGGGUGCGUAACACGUGGGAACCUUCCCUAUAGUAUGGAAUAGCCCAGGGAAACUUGGAGUAAUACCGUAUACGCCCGAGAGGGGAAAGAUUUAUCGCUAUAGGAUGGGCCCGCGUAGGAUUAGCUAGUUGGUGAGGUAAUGGCUCACCAAGGCGACGAUCCUUAGCUGGUCUGAGAGGACGACCAGCCACACUGGGACUGAGACACGGCCCAGACUCCUACGGGAGGCAGCAGUGGGGAAUAUUGGACAAUGGGCGCAAGCCUGAUCCAGCCAUGCCGCGUGAGUGAUGAAGGCCUUAGGGUUGUAAAGCUCUUUUGCCGGGGACGAUAAUGACGGUACCCGGAGAAUAAGUCCCGGCUAACUUCGUGCCAGCAGCCGCGGUAAUACGAAGGGGACUAGCGUUGUUCGGAAUCACUGGGCGUAAAGCGCACGUAGGCGGAUCAUUUAGUCA
rnacentral:rRNA from 1 species